rnacentral:rRNA from 1 species
AUACAAAACCAAUGCCCUUCGGGGCUCUCUUGGUGAUUCAUGAUAACUUCUCGAAUCGCACGGCCCCGCGCCGGCGAUGGUUCAUUCAAAUUUCUUCCCUAUCAACUUUCGAUGCUACGGUAUUGUCCUAGCAUGGUUG